AAAGUAAAUAGCUAAGUUUAAGUUAAUUAUUUACAUUGAUGGGAUAUCUAGUAGAUUUUACUU
rnacentral:tRNA from 1 species